rnacentral:tRNA from 1 species
GCCCUUGUGGUGAAAUGGUAGACACACCAGUUUUAGGAACUGGCGCUUAACAGUGUGUCGGUUCAAGUCCGACUGAGGGCA